rnacentral:rRNA from 1 species
CCUACGUGUGGCAGCAGUUAGGAAUAUUGGUCCAUGGGCGAGAGCCUGCACCAGCCAAGUCGCGUGAGGGAGUACUGCCCUAUGGGUUGUAAACCUCUUUUUUCGGGGAGCAAAAGCCGGACGUGUCCGGCUGUGAGCGUACCCGAAGAAACAGCAUCGGCUAACUCGGUGCCAGCAGCCGCGGUAAUACGGAGGAUGCGAGCGUUAUCCGGAUUUAUUGGGUUUAAAGGGUGCGAAGGCGGAUUUUUAAUUCAGCGGUCAAACAGUGGGGCUCAACCCCAUCCAGCCGUUGAAACUGGGGAUCUAGAGUGUGCGAGAGGUAUGCGGAAUGCGUGGUGUAGCGGUGAAAUGCAUAGAUAUCACGCAGAACCCCGAUUGCGAAGGCAGCAUACCGGUGCACAACUGACGCUCAGGCACGAAAGCGUGGGUAUCGAACAGGAUUAGAUACCCUGGUAGUC